UAUGCGGAUAAUAGAACGGACAAAUACGCAUAAAGCUAGUCCUUCUAAUUUCCGAAUGGGGGUUCGGUUGCCAGCAAGAGUAUGCCAGAUUUGUUGGAUUCCUGUUCGGAUUAGGAGCCCGGAUUCCUCCUGCGACUGCUAUUCGAUUCGAUCUAGCCGCCAAUGAAUCCAAUUGGCCUCUAUAUAUAUCCAGAGGCAGCAAGCUAGGUUUUUUCCUUGUUAAUUAGUUCUAUCCAACUGAUCCAUUGCAUCGCAUCGAUGGGAUCUGUCAUCUCUUCCGCCAUCGCCGCCGCGUUUCCUCAUCGGGACGAUUUCCUGCUCGCGGAUGAGGAUGAUCCCAAUGGCGGGCCCUUUUUUCACGAGCUGCCCCUCCACCAGCAAGAACGCCUGAAGCAACGCUGGAUGGAGAAGCUGGAGCGCAAGAAUCCUCGCGCUGUGGUCUGGGGACCACGGUCAAGAGAGGAGCGCAUCGCAGCCGAACUUCUUCCCCUUGUCCAAAUUGCACUUCAGCAUUACAAUUCAAACAACCCGGUGUUGAUUAUAAUUUGUUUUCCUGUGUCUUCUUUUGAUCUGUGUAACAGAGCAUCUAGUUCAUCAUUGCAACCCAACUUUGCCCUUCUGAUCUGGACAAGUUAUUGAUUAUGAUUUGUUUUCCUAUGUCUUCUUGUGAUCUGUGUUUCAGGGUGCUGAGUUCGAUCUUGUCAAGCCUUUGACGUAUGGUCGUGUGGGUUUCAGAAACGAGAUUUGACUCCAUAUCAACUUUUUAGUCCGCCCCUGCACAAAACGCAACUCAAUGCUAGUCAUUAAACUAAAUUAUGUGUCUGAGCUCUGAAUUGGUCAAUCGGAUUUCCAAUCCUGAAAUUUUAGAAUAAUCAGUUUUAGAAUUUCUCAUUGAGUGACCACUGAGCAAUGUGAAUUUUACGUAAGAACCAGUUGGCUACGACAUGCAUAACAGGACGUCAACACAAUUGGCAGACAAUGCCCAGUCCAUAUGAUCGUGCAAAUGGGUGACUAGUGAAGUAGUGAGUCAAUGAUCAUGUGUUUUUUUAUGGUAAACAAAAUCUCUGUAUGGUUGACAUCUCCCCCAUUUCCUUUUUAGCUUGUACUCCAAUUAUGUGACCAUUUUAAUAUCAUUUUCUACAUAUA